rnacentral:rRNA from 1 species
UACGGAGGGGGCUAGCGUUGUUCGGAAUUACUGGGCGUAAAGCGCACGUAGGCGGAUUGGUAAGUUGGGGGUGAAAUCCCGGGGCUCAACCCCGGAACUGCCUUCAAAACUCCCAGUCUGGAGGUCGAGAGAGGUGAGUGGAAUUCCGAGUGUAGAGGUGAAAUUCGUAGAUAUUCGGAGGAACACCAGUGGCGAAGGCGGCUCACUGGCUCGAUACUGACGCUGAGGUGCGAAAGCGUGGGGAGCAAACAGG